UCGUGUCGGGGGACGUCGCUGGAGCUGUGCUAGAUCGUGCGCGGGGGUGGUCGGGACGCCGAGUGGCUGCGGGUGUUGAGCCUGCGGCUUCCGACUUUCUCAGUCUGGCGCCGCCAGACGAGAGUCGCGGCUCUGAUUCCAGGGCGGUCUCUGAGUGCUCCUCUGCCUUGGAGCCAGCAAACUGUGAAUUGAAACUUUACAGAUUGUGAAAGAAUCUUUCACAAGAUGGAGCCAGCAAACUGUGAAUUGAAACUUUACAGAUUGUGUAAAGAAGAGAACGGAAGGUCUUCAGCAAGAAAUCCAGAUGCUUACUCAGCAAAUACUGCUGCCACCCAUCUUUAUGAAGAACUCUUGUGGAUUGUUCUAAGCUAAAGGAAAAUAUAUGAAACAACAAAGAUCUCUGCGAUAUCUGAAAGAAAAUUUGCUUUCCAUAACUUUUUACCAGGAAAAUGACAUUUCGAUAGAAAAAGAUAUUCCUGAAUUAUAGAUCUUACUAUAACUGAGAAAAGUUAUAUUCUUCUGCUGCUUGAUAAAGCCACUGACUGAGACAGUAGACAUAAGAGCUUUAUUUAGAGAAAGAAUUUGAUCAAAGAAUAGAGAAGAAGCUCUGCUCAAACAAACUUCUCAAUUCCAAGGAGGUUAGGAGUUACAGAUGUAGGAUAGGAAUAAUGUUGGAGAGAGGUAGGCUAAUAAAAGGGAUGAAUACUGUUUUGCUUAUUUUUUGAGAAUACAUCUGCCAGGAAUUCUGGUACCACCUAUUUCCCUUCCUUUAUGUCCUGCUGUUUCCAGUCAUGGUGUCUGCUAGGUGUCUUUAACCUUGGAGCAGGGAAGAGAGACUAGGCAGGUCUAGGUCAGGUAACUUUGUAUUGUACUUCGGAACAGACCAUUUUUCAGUUGAUCCACAUGUCUGCAUAUAGAGCUGAGCAGCAUCUGACCAAAGGUUAGGACUGCAAAGGAGAUGGACACAAUAUGAAGACAGAUGUCAAGCCUUUUCAUUGCAUUCCAGUCAGCCAUCAGAUUGUUCCUGGAUUCUGGGGUUCUGUAGAUACUAGGAAUUCUAUUCAGAUUGGUGGUGUCCUAAGCAAAUGUUUUGACCAGACGUGAAAAUGGCUGUUGGGAGCCUCUGAAGCUGGAAAAUCAGUCAGA